rnacentral:misc_RNA from 1 species
UUUUUAUUUUAUACUUUAAACAUUGAUUUUAUUUUUUAUGUUUUUAGAUAUUUAUGUUUUUGAAUGUUUUAUUCAAAUAAUAUAAAAAAUAAAAUAUAUAUUGACAUGGAUUAAACAAAGAUAUAUAUUAUUCUAUGUUGUAUAAACAAAUUGGCAAAAUAGAGAUGGAAGAUAAAAAUA